AACUUUCAACAACGGAUCUCUAGGGCUCUUGCAUCGAUGAAGAACGCAGUGAAAUGUGAUAAGUAAUGUGAAUUGCAGAAUCUCGUGAAUCAUCGAAUCUUUGAACGCACAUUGCGCCCCUAUGGUAAUCCAUUGGGCAUACCGGUUUGAGUGUCAG
rnacentral:rRNA from 1 species